UGGGUAUGGCUCAGUGGUAGAGCACAUGCCUAAGAAGCAUGAGGCCUUGUGUUCCAAUCUCAACACUGCAA
rnacentral:tRNA from 1 species